UGAAAUCUGGCCCCAGGCCCGAGUUGUAAUUUGCAGAGGAUGCUUUUGGUGAGGUGCCUUCCAAGUUCCCUAGAACGGGACGCCAGAGAGGGUGAGAGCCCCGUACAGUUGGACACCGAGCCUUUGUAAAGCUCCUUCGACGAGUCGAGUAGUUUGGGAAUGCUGCUCAAAAUGGGAGGUAUAUUUCUUCUAAAGCUAAAUACCGGCCAGAGACCGAUAGCGCACAAGUAGAGUGAUCGAAAGAUGAAAAGCACUUUGAAAAGAGGGUUAAACAGCACGUGAAAUUGUUAAAAGGGAAGCGCUUGUGACCAGACUUGCGUCCGGUGAAUCACCCAGCUCUCGCGGCUGGGGCACUUCGCCGGCUCAGGCCAGCAUCAGCUCGCUGUCGGGGACAAAAGCUUCAGGAACGUAGCUCUCUUCGGGGAGUGUUAUAGCCUGUUGCAUAAUACCCUUCGGCGGGCUGAGGUACGCGCUCC
rnacentral:rRNA from 1 species